GGUAUAGCUCGUGGGCAUAGUUGAGCAUCUGACUGUAAGUCGGAGGGUCCCAGUUCAAGUCUGGGUGCCCCCU
rfam:Tupaia chinensis contig133976, whole genome shotgun sequence.